rnacentral:rRNA from 1 species
AGAGUUUGAUCAUGGCUCAGGAUGAACGCUAGCUACAGGCUUAACACAUGCAAGUCGAGGGGAAACGACAUCGAAAGCUUGCUUUUGAUGGGCGUCGACCGGCGCACGGGUGAGUAACGCGUAUCCAACCUGCCCACCACUUGGGGAUAACCUUGCGAAAGUAAGACUAAUACCCAAUGACGUCUCUAGAAGACAUCUGAAAGAGAUUAAAGAUUUUAUCGGUGAUGGAUGGGGAUGCGUCUGAUUAGCUUGUUGGCGGGGUAACGCCCGCAAGGCUACGAUCAGUAGGGGUUCUGAGAGGAAGGUCCCCCCANAUUGGAACUGAGACACGGUCCAAACUCCUACGGGAGCA